CUUUAAACAAAAAGAACAGAGAGCUUCCCUGCUCUCUCCCCCUUUCCCUUCUCUUUUAUUUUCUGCUAGGGUUUCAAAGAAACCCAUCAUUGCCGCCAUUCAACCGCCGCGCCACCACCGCACUCGGUGGUCGGCGAUACACCAAAAUGGGCUCCUUUAGCUCUCCCAUUUUUUACUUGUUGGAGGCUAGUUCCAAAAAUGAAAAGACAAGGGUUCAACCCCCUUUUUAGACUCAACCACGCCGAACGGAGGGGAAGGCUCAGAUAACGCGGCGACUGGGCCGGAUCUGGUGUUGAAGUUGUGGAGAACGAGGGGCGUGAAACAUGGGCGAAAACAUGGAGCAGGGUAUACGGGGAUCCUGUCUGGAGUGCUGACGUGUGGGUUGAGUUUGUAGUCUGCUGAAAAUUUUUGAGAUAGUGGGCUGGUAGGGUUAGUUUAGGUUGUGGGCUGAUG